GUUUAGGUACCCGGUCUGGUGCCACUCUGUGUAAGAAGAUUAGGAAGAUGGAGGUCAGUCAACACAACAAGUACUUUUGUGAGUUCUGCGGAAAGUACGCCGUGAAGAGAAAGGUUGUUGGUAUUUGGGGAUGCAAGGACUGUGGGAAGGUCAAGGGUUAACAAUAUCGAAUUCGAGGAGGUAAAAAUUGAUGUGACCAAGCGUCAGCAUUUAUCUCAAGAAUGAAUUUUUGGCAUGAAUGUUUUGUUGCAGGGUGCGGCUGCCUCACUGGCUCUUCUGUCACGCUGCCGUGUACUUUAAUUCUCCGGCGCCAUCUCAUCAGGAGUGGAUUGACAACCAUUCUUACUAUGAGGCUAUAGUACGUAUAUGGAGAAAAUAUUGGGCUUUAUCAACAUAAUUUUGCUGUUGAACAAAGAGGGAAACCCUUCCAGUCAAAAGCGGCUUGAGGAGUGGUUAGCUCAAGGCACACUCUAUGAAACACCUAAAGGUCAUCAUCUGUAUGGUUCGAUUUUUCGUCAUGUAAGGCUACAAGUAUUGUAUGAACUCACUAUCGUAAAACAGUUAAUAAUAUUUAUAAGACUACGAGCAUCAA